rnacentral:rRNA from 1 species
ACGCUCGACACCUACUGGAGGCAGCAGUGGGGAAUAUUGCACAAUGGGGGAAACCCUGAUGCAGCGACGCCGCGUGAGCGAAGAAGUAUUUCGGUAUGUAAAGCUCUAUCAGCAGGGAAGAAACUGACGGUACCUGACUAAGAAGCACCGGCUAAAUACGUGCCCGCAGCCGCGGUAAUCUGAGCGGGCUGGCAAGGC